GGCUACGUAGCUCAGCUGGUUAGAGCAUCGCAUUCAUAAUGCGAGGGUCAGUGGUUCGAAUCCACUCGUAGCUACCA
rnacentral:tRNA from 1 species